AGUGAACGCUGGCGGUAGGCCUAACACAUGCAAGUCGAACGGCAGCACAGUAAGAGCUUGCUCUUACGGGUGGCGAGUGGCGGACGGGUGAGGAAUACAUCGGAAUCUACUUUUUCGUGGGGGAUAACGUAGGGAAACUUACGCUAAUACCGCAUACGACCUACGGGUGAAAGCAGGGGAUCUUCGGACCUUGCGCGAUUGAAUGAGCCGAUGUCGGAUUAGCUAGUUGGCGGGGUAAAGGCCCAGCAAGGCGACGAUCUGUAGCUGGUCUGAGAGGAUGAUCAGCCACACUGGAACUGAGACACGGUCCAGACUCCUACGGGAGGCAGCAGUGGGGAAUAUUGGACAAUGGGGGCAAGCCUGAUCCAGCCAUACCGCGUGGGUGAAGAAGGCCUUCGGGUUGUAAAGCCCUUUUGUUGGGAAAGAAAAGCAGCAGGUUAAUACCCCGCUGUUCUGACGGUACCCAAAGAAUAAGCACCGGCUAACUUCGUG
rnacentral:rRNA from 1 species